rnacentral:rRNA from 1 species
GAUGAACGCUGGCGGCGUGCCUAAUACAUGCAAGUCGAGCGGUAAGGCUCUGCACAGGUUGCUUGAUCGAGAAUUUAUUUUCUUACGUCACUUCUAGGCUAGAAGUGACCACAGAUCGAACAAUGUGUGUAGAGUACACGAGCGGCGGACGGCUGAGUAACGCGUAGGAACAUACCCCAAAGUGAGGGAUAACUGCCCGAAAGGGUAGCUAAUACCGCAUGUGGUCUUCGGAUUAAAGCUUUAUGCGCUUUGGGAAUGGCCUGCGUCUGAUUAGUUUGUUGGUGAGGUAAUGGCUCACCAAGACUACGAUCGGUAGCUGGUCUGAGAGGAUGAUCAGCCAGACUGGAACUGAGACACGGUCCAGACUCCUACGGGAGGCAGCAGUAGGGAAUUUUCCACAAUGGGCGAAAGCCUGAUGGAGCAACGCCGCGUGCAGGAUGAAGGCCCUUGGGUCGUAACUGCUUUUAUGUGCGAAG